rnacentral:rRNA from 1 species
AUUGAACGCUGGCGGCGUGCUUAACACAUGCAAGUCGAACGAUGAACUUGGAGCUUGCUCUGGGGGAUUAGUGGCGAACGGGUGAGUAACACGUGAGUAACCUGCCCUGGACUCUGGGAUAACUUCGAGAAAUCGGAGCUAAUACCGGAUAGGACCUUGCACCGCAUGGUGUGGGGUGGAAAGUUUUUCGGUUUGGGAUGGACUCGCGGCCUAUCAGCUUGUUGGUGAGGUAAUGGCUCACCAAGUCGUCGACGGGUAGCCGGCCUGAGAGGGUGACCGGCCACACUGGGCGUGAGACACGGACCAGACGCCUACGGUAGGCAGCAGUGGGGAAUAUUGCACAAUGGACGCAAGCCUGAAGCAGCAACGCCGCGUGCGGGAUGACGGCCUUCGGGUUGUAAACCGCUUUUAGUAGGGAAGAAGCCUUCGGGUGACGGUACCUGCAGAAAAAGGACCGGCUAACUACGUGCCAGCAGCCGCAGUAACAC